UGAUACUAAGCCAUGCGAGUCAUUGUAGCAAUACAAGGCAGACGGCUCAGUAACGCGUAGUCAACCUACCCUAUGGACGGGAAUAACCUCGGGAAACUGAGUAUAAUGCCCGAUAGAACAUUAUGCCUGGAAUGGUUUAUGUUCCAAAUGAUUUAUCGCCGUAGGAUGGGACUGCGGCCUAUCAGUUUGUUGGUGAGGUAAUGGCCCACCAAGACUAUUACAGGUACGGGCUCUGAGAGGAGUAGCCCGGAGAUGGGUACUGAGACACGGACCCAGGCCCUAUGGGGCGCAGCAGGCGAGAAAACUUUGCAAUGUGCGAAAGCACGACAAGGUUAAUCCGAGUGGUUUCUGCUAAAGGAACCUUUUGUUAGUCCUAAAAACACUAACGAAUAAGGGGUGGGCAAGUUCUGGUGUCAGCCGCCGCGGUAAAACCAGCACCUCAAGUGGUCAGGAUGAUUAUUGGGCCUAAAGCAUCCGUAGCCUGCUCUGUAAGUUUUCGGUUAAAUCUGUAUGCUCAACAUACAGGCCGCCGGAAAUACUGCAGGGCUAGGGAGUGGGAGAGGUAGACGGUACUCGGGAGGAAGUGGUAAAAUGCUUUGAUCUUUCGAUGACCACCUGUGGCGAAGGCGGUCUACCAGAACACGUCCGACGGUGAGGGAUGAAAGCUGGGGGAGCAAACCGGAUUAGAUACCCGGGUAGUCCCAGCCGUAAACUAUGCAAACUCAGUGAUGCAUUGGCUUGUGGCCAAUGCAGUGUUGCAGGGAAGCCGUUAAGUUUGCCGCCUGGGAAGUACGUACGCAAGUAUGAAACUUAAAGGAAUUGGCGGGGGAGCACCAC
rnacentral:rRNA from 1 species